UUUUUGGCCCGCGCAUCGCAAAAGACCUAGUCCGGCCGCGAAGCUUCCUUAUCCGCGUCAAAUCCACACUACCUCCUGCGCCCCUAAAUCUCGCGCCGCCGCCGACCGCCGUCCCUCCCCGGCGCACUGCGCUCCGAGGUCACCCCAGCACCUGAGCCGGCUCUCUCUGAUCUGUACGUGUUGCUCCUCUUGGCCACUCUGCUUGCGCCCCUUACCACCACCCAUGGCUCCUCUGCUAUUGGGUUGCGCCGCCGCCGUAGCUCCGGCGUGGGUACCCCCCAGCCACACCCGUGCUUGGCCUACUCCUGCACACGGCCACGACCCUGCUCAAACAGCUCUAACAUCGCCAGAUUGUGCUUCUUCCCCAGCUCCUGGAUACAUCGACACACCGCCGUUCAGAACCCACUCCAACUCGUGCAGUUCGACGGCCUCACGGAGGUACGUACCCUGAAUCCAAACACGUUUCUUCUACCUACUAGCUUCUCCGAACCUCUCAAAUCUGGUGCAGCUCAACGAAUCCUCAAAUCAAGCGUCAGAUUUCAGCCAUAUAAUUAUAUAUGUACGCCAGAUCUAGCCUCAGAUUCGAGCUAUUGAUUUGAGGAAUUUAAUCAUUUAUUUCCCCUUUAAUUAGUUAUAAAUUAGUUUGAAGACAGCCAUACAUUUCCAUAAAUUCUGAACUUUUUACUACUAAGAUUGAGUGGAAUACAUGGGAUGAUUAGCAUUGGCUCUGUUUUCCGUUGAAAUACAUGUAAUAUUUCCACCUAAUCUCUACCAGUCUCUAAUUUUGCUAUGUAAUGAGCACUGUGUUUAUACUUAUCUCCACACACACACACACAGAUAGCCUAUGCACAACAGAACUAAGAUUGCCUUCGAGUGCUUGUUGUGUUGACUGUGAGCUGCUGGGUGAAGGUAUGGUUUUCUGCUUGCCUUAACAAUUCAGAUGUUGAAAUGCUGUUUCAGUAUAAGUGUUAAUUUUCUUUGUAUUUCCUAGGUUUCUUUUUACUGUCUUACUAUCCAGCACCAUAAAAUGUCGAUCUAUAAUUUGUCUGUCCAUACCUCUGGAUUUUAUUCUAUUUUGUCAUGUUAGCAUUUAGGAAGCAGCAUUGAGCACUUGCAUUGCUAGUACUAGGAACAUCAUCAGUGAAACAGAGUGAUUGGCAACAAGAAGUUGAGGUUAUCACUCGACUUGGUUCAGUAGUUGUGGUGUUGGUUCAUGAUUUAGACCUAACUUGUGGCCUUGCCCCCUACUUUUUCUUUAUUGUACUAAGCUGCGAAAGCUUUUUUACUGAUUGUUUUAACUCAUCACAAUACUCCAAAUAGAAGCAACAAUGAUAAGAUUUCUCCUUUCACGUGUUUUGCAGAAAGUAGCCUCCAUGCCUAUUAAAUCUUGGUCCUGUUUUAUACAGAGGCUUUCAUCUACUGAGAAGCACAUCGAUGGAGAAAUAAGACAAUCGUUAUAGGCAAUCUGUUUCACUGUUUCAGGUACAUGCUUUGUACUGAUUGAAACAUAUGAGCAAGGUUGCUACAAAUUAUGUUCCAUAUAACUGUUAUAUUGAACAGGUGCAUCCUUUCGAGGUUAGGUAUUACUAUUUUCUCAAAACAACAUUACUCAUGCAUUUGUUGUCAUCAUUUUAUACAAUUCUGUAUCUUAUAGUUCUGCUCAGUUAUUAUGUGAUAAUUUUAAAGGGAUGGUGUCAAGGUUUAGCAAUGUUAAUUUGAGAAAUUGAGAUGCUGAAUAUGUUCUUAUACUGUAUCACAUAGAUAUGUGGUCCUAGUUGCAAUCUUUUAGCAAUUGACACUUGACAAAAAAUGAGUCUAUUCUUUUUUUAGCACAUCAUUGAGUCUAUUUGGUGCAGGCUAAUCUGAAAGAGAAGCCCGCAAUCCAAGCUGCGAUUGAGUGACAAGUGAGGUCCUGUUUCUGUGUAUGUAGUUAAAGAACUUGUGUGUUAAAUGUGCUCCUCUGUUUCAGUGACUUUCAACCGUUGUAUGUUGAUUAUAGACAGAUUUGUAUAUGAAGUAGAUACAUGUGAUUAUUGUAACCAAUUCAGUUGUGUAUGUUCUAGAUUUGUUGUGAAA